UUGAGAUUAUUGGGAACUGGCCAGGAUUUGAGUGCCGCCACCUUCUCUGGAUCAGUCUCAACGCCUUUUUCAGAAACAAUAUGCCCCAAGUAUUUAACGGAAGUCUGAAAGAAUUUGCACUUUUCUGGAGAUAGCUUUAGUCCAUAUUCUUGAAGACGGUUCAACACUCUCAACAAGCGGUUCUCAUGCUCCUCAAGUGUGUCAGAGAAAAUGAUCAGGUCAUCCAAAAACACUAAGACCUCCUUCAAGUGGAGAUCACCCAUACAUUUCUCCAUCAAUCUUUGGAAAGUUGAUGGGGCGUUGGUUACGCCCUGGGGCAUUCUGUUGAAUUCCCAGAAUCCAAGAGGUGUAACGAAGGCUGUUUUUGGCUUGUCAGUCUCACUCAUUUCAAUUUGGUAGUAACCUGACUUGAGGUCUAGCACAGAAAACCAUUUCGAUCCAUUGAGCGCAGAAAAAGAUUCCUCCAAGUUUGGCAAUGCAUAUGCGUCCUUGACAGUUUGCAAAUUGAGCUUGCGAUAGUCAAUACAUAGACGAAUAUCUCCAUUUUUCUUUUUGACAACCACGAUUGGUGAAGAGAAUGGUGACUCUGAUUCUCUAAUCACACCAGCGUCUAGAAGCUCUCUGAGAUGUUUACGAACAGCUUCUAUGUCAUGUGGGUGAAUUGGUCUUGCACGAUGUUUAAAUGGAGUGUUGUCAUGGAGAUUUAUGUGAUGUUUGACUUGACUAGUGCAGCCAAAGUCCAGAUCAUGAUGGGAAAAGACGUCCGACAUUGCAUUCAACUUGGUGCUGAUCCGCUCCUUCCAUUCUGAUGACAAUGAAGAUUCUCCAAAGUUAAACUGUAAUGAAGUAGCAUUGGGCUCGUGUGUGGAUGAACUGGUCACAUGUUGCUCUGCGAUGACACAUUCAUAUGCUCCCAGCUCUGCGAUGAUAGCCAAAGGUGGUAAGUGAAUGUCUUGCUGCGUUUCGUUUCUCACCAUAACUGGAAUUUGGUGAGAAGAAAGAGAUUUAAGUGAGACAAGACAGCUGCUCACGAACAGACCACCCGGCAGGCCUGAAACCGGGUGCUGGACGACCGCAUACUGACUUGUUGGAGCAGAGACCUUAGCAGAGCCUUUUAGCAGAAUGGAAUGACCAGCAGGAACGAGCACAGGAGACUUACUGAGCAGAGUUACACAUCCAAGAUGGUCGCUGCAGCUUUGUUGGUAAGUGACUUGGAGAGUUUGUAAAACAGCUCGGUAACCGGAUGCAUUUGGUUGGAAGGAAGAAUGAUUGCUUUGCUGAAAUUGAUCAUAGAGAGUUUCAAGAGUGUUCAUGCCAAUCAGGAUUGAGGUGGAAAAUCCUGGUUUGAAAUCAGGAACUAUAAGUGCAAGUGUUGGAAUGGUUAUGAUGCUUCCAAUAAAGUCCAUUGGGAAAGUCACUGUUGUUUCAAUAUAACCAAGAUAUGGCACAUUUUGACCUGCUGCACCCUCGACGUGAAGAAGCUCAUGAAGAGGUUGCACUGGUUGAUCAGAAAGAUGUUUAUUGUAAAAUGAAACUGGAAUUGUCGUGACCUGAGACCCGGUAUCCAGAAGGCAGAAACAUUGGUGACCUCCGACUUUGACAUCAGCCGUGCAUCUGGAUCCCACAAGUCCCUUAGGUACUCUCUUUGAUGUUGACUGCAGCUCAGAACAGUUUACAGGAAGCUUUUCCUUGGCAGGACAAGGUUGGUCCGACUCAGCCCCUGGGCGUCCCACACCAGGAACUGAAGCUAGUUUAAAGGCUUCCUUGCAGGUUGAUCUGGUCUCCGCCACUUCUGCUGCUUCUCUUGGAAUUGCUUCCUCUUGGCACUAACCAGCGCGGAAUUGGGCUGGUUGCCACACUGCGGCUUGAUGUGGCCAUCCUCUCCACAGCGGUAGCAGAAUCCAGGUUUCAGGCUGGAUGAAGCUGAAGUUGAGCCUCUUCCAGUCUUCCAGGAAGCAGAGUGCAUCGCAGCUGGCGGGUUACUGCUGGUCCGGCCGGCGGUUAACACUGCCAGCUGCUUUUGAAUGGCAGUCAUUUGUUGUGAGAGCUGCUUUGUGAGAUGCUGCUUCAUUCUUUGAGUCUUCGAGGCUUCUCUGUCCUCUUCUGUCCGCAAGAGUAAUAAAAAUUCUGCGAAAGAUGAUACUCCUCCUCUCCUCACAGCAUGUUGCAGCGCCCCCUGUAGUCUCUGCAAAUACUCGGACGGCCUCUCACCAUGAUUUUGAUAAGAGUCCAUGAAUUUAACAUAAAGUUCUUCACCAUCCUGGACAGUGCCAUAGGCUGACUCCAGAUGCUGCAGAUAGACAUCAGGCAGAGUGUCAUAGCUUAGGUGUU